UACGAAGGGGGCUAGCGUUGCUCGGAAUCACUGGGCGUAAAGCGCACGUAGGCGGCUUUCUAAGUCAGGGGUGAAAUCCCGGGGCUCAACCUCGGAACUGCCUUUGAUACAGCACGUCUCGAGUCCGGAAGAGGUGGGUGGAAUUCCUAGUGUAGAGGUGAAAUUCGUAGAUAUUAGGAAGAACACCGGUGCGAAGGCGGCCCACUGGCCCCGAUACUGACGCUGAGGCGCGAAAGCUAGGGGAGCAAACGGG
rnacentral:rRNA from 1 species